rnacentral:sRNA from 1 species
UUGACAUCCCUGAGGACCGACGUACUUUGUCUACAGAAUAUGUACAGCAUGUGAAGCAACAGUGCAGGCUUCCCUCCUCCAUCCUUUACCAACUGGACCUGCGAGCCACCUCAGUGGUGAAAGAGAAACUGAAUCUUCAUGACCCAUUCAUUCCUUGACUUCU